rnacentral:rRNA from 1 species
GAUGAACGCUGGCGGCGUGCCUAAUACAUGCAAGUCGAGCGAACAGACGCUGCGCUUGCGCCGCUCACGUUUGCGGAGGAGGGGAGAAAAACACGUGGAUAACCUACCUGAAAGACUGGGAAAAUUUCGGGAAACCGGAGCUAAUACCGGAUAAGAUAUUGAAGCGCAGGGGGCAAUGGAGAAAGACGGUUGUUGGGGCAGGUAUAGAUGGAUCUGCGCCGCAUUAGCUAGUUGGUAAGUUAACGGCUUAUCAAGGCAACGAUGCGUAGCCGACCGCAGAGGGUGGUCGGCCACCCUGGAAGGGAGACACGGUCCAGACUCCUACGGGAGGCAGCAGUCGGGUAUCUUCCGCAAUAGGCGAAAGCAUGACGGAGCAACGCCGAGUGAGUUAUGAAGGUCUUGGGAUCGUAAAGCUCUGUUAUUAGGUAUGAACAAAUGUCUCAGUAACUAUGCACGUAUUGACGGUACCUAAUCAGAAAGCCACGGCUAACUACGUG